AUUGAACGCUGGCGGCAGGCUUAACACAUGCAAGUCGAACGAGUGGCGGACGGGUGAGUAAUGUUUGGGAAUCUAGCUUAUGGAGGGGGAUAACUACGGGAAACUGUAGCUAAUACCGCGUACCAUAGGAUGAGCCCAAGUGGGAUUAGGUAGUUGUGGAGGUAAAGGCUCACCAAGCCGACGAUCUCUAGCUGGUCUGAGGGGAUGACCGGCCGAACGGGGACUGAGACAGGUCCCAGACUCCUAGGGAGGGCAGCAGUGGGAAAUAUGGCACAUUGGGGGCAACCUGACGCAGCCAUGCCGAGUGAAUGAAGAAGGCCUUCGGGUUGGAAAGUUCUUUCGGUAGCGAGGCGUUAACUACAGAAGAAGCACCGGCUAACUCCGUGCCAGCAGCGGCGUUAUUU
rnacentral:rRNA from 1 species